GUGUACCCGCGGCAAGACGGAAAGACCCCGUGAACCUUUACUAUAGCUUGACACUGAACAUUGAGCCUUGAUGUGUAGGAUAGGUGGGAGGCUUUGAAGUGUGGACGCCAGUCUGCAUGGAGCCGACCUUGAAAUACCACCCUUUAAUGUUUGAUGUUCUAACGUGGACCCGUUACCCGGGUUGCGGACAGUGUCUGGUGGGUAGUUUGACUGGGGCGGUCUCCUCCUAAAGAGUAACGGAGGAGCACGAAGGUUGGCUAAUCCUGGUCGGACAU
rnacentral:rRNA from 1 species